AAUAGAUACCCGGGUAGUCCACGCCGUAAGCGAUGAAUACUAGGGUGUAGGGGGUUUGUCAUGACCUCUGUGCCGCCGCUAACGCAUUAAGUAUUCCGCCUGGGGAGUACGGUCGCAAGAUUAAAACUCAAAGGAAUUGACGGGGGGCCCGCACAAGCAGCGGAGCAUGUGGUUUAAUUCGAAGCAACGCGAAGAACCUUACCUAGACUUGACAUCUCCUGCAUUACCCUUAAUCGGGGAAGUUCCUUCGGGAACAGGAAGACAGGUGGUGCAUGGUUGUCGUCAGCUCGUGUCGUGAGAUGUUGGGUUAAGUCCCGCAACGAGCGCAACCCUUAUUGUUAGUUGCUACCAUUUAGUUGAGCACUCUAGCGAGACUGCCCGGGUUAACCGGGAGGAAGGUGGGGAUGACGUCAAAUCAUCAUGCCCCUUAUGUCUAGGGCUACACACGUGCUACAAUGGCAAGUACAAAGAGAAGCAAGACCGCGAGGUGGAGCAAAACUCAAAAACUUGUCUCAGUUCGGAUUGUAGGCUGAAACUCGCCUACA
rnacentral:rRNA from 1 species